rnacentral:misc_RNA from 1 species
CGCCCCCAAAAAACAAAAUUGAUUGACAAAAAUUCUGAACAGAUGUUGAAUUUACUUGCAUAAUAAAAUGAUGCAAGAGAGUGGGAAAGGGAGAUACUCGAAUGGUAAUCAUCUCCCAACAAUCAUUGUAACUGUCACAUCAUUUGAGGAUACAAUUUCCUGACCUUCAGGAUAGAUUUCAGAUGUAUCUAUGGAGGCUCUCAUUGAAGUGUAAGUGGGUUGCCUAGGCAAUGGCAGGGUUGGACUACUGCUUUCUAGCAUUAAAAUCACAGAUGACAUGGUUGGUCUAUGAACCGCAGAAUCUUGCACACACAACAUCCCUACUUGUAUGCAUUUUAAUACUUCAUUCUUGCAACACGAAUCUCGAAUCAAUGGAUCAACAAGCUCCAUUGCUUUAUCUUCAUGCCAAAGUUCCCAUGCAUAAGCGAUGAGGCUGACAUGAUCGGUUAAACGAAAGCUGGUGUUCCUCCGGCCACUUACAAUCUCUAAUAGUAACACUCCAAAGCUAUAGACAUCAGAUUUCACUGAAAAUAAGCCUUCCAUUGCAUAUUCAGG